rnacentral:snRNA from 1 species
GUCCCUUCGGGGAUAUCUGAUAAAAUUGAACCGAUACAGAAAAGAUUAGCAUGGCCCCAGUGUAACAAGUUCAGUAAUGAAACAGUAACCAAAAUCU